UACGGAGGGUGCAAGCGUUAUCCGGAUUCACUGGGUUUAAAGGGUGCGUAGGCGGGCAGGUAAGUCAGUGGUGAAAUCUCCAAGCUUAACUUGGAAACUGCCGUUGAUACUAUCUGUCUUGAAUAUUGUGGAGGUGAGCGGAAUAUGUCAUGUAGCGGUGAAAUGCUUAGAUAUCGUUUGGAACGCCAACGGUGAAAACAGACAGCUGGGAGUGUGCUGACGCUGAGACACGAAAGCCAGGGGAGCGAACGGG
rnacentral:rRNA from 1 species